GGGGUCAUAACUCAGUUGGUAGAGUGCUACAAUGGCAUUGUAGAUGUCCGGGGUUCAAUUCCCCGUGACUCCACCA
rnacentral:tRNA from 1 species